CCCAGACUCCUACGGGAGGCAGCAGUGAGGAAUAUUGGUCAAUGGGCUUACGCCUGAACCAGCCAAGUCGCGUGAGGGAAGACUGCCCUACGGGUUGUAAACCUCUUUUGUCGGGGAGCAAAGAGAGUCACGUGUGGCUCAUUGAGAGUACCCGAAGAAAAAGCAUCGGCUAACUCCGUGCCAGCAGCCGCGGUAAUACGGAGGAUGCGAGCGUUAUCCGGAUUUAUUGGGUUUAAAGGGUGCGUAGGCGGAGUGUCAAGUCAGCGGUAAAAUUUCGGGGCUCAACCCCGUCGUGCCGUUGAAACUGACGCCCUUGAGUGAGUGAGAAGUAAGCGGAAUGCGUGGUGUAGCGGUGAAAUGCAUAGAUAUCACGCAGAACGCCGAUUGCGAAGGCAGCUUACCGGCGCUCAACUGACGCUGAGGCACGAAAGUGCGGGUAUCGAACAGGAUUAGAUACCCCCGUA
rnacentral:rRNA from 1 species